rnacentral:lncRNA from 1 species
AAGUGAUUGUUUAAUAAAAAAAUUUGACAUGCGUAUGUUUAGUAAUACUGGAAGUAAUAUUAAUGUGACUAAACCACUCGAAGUAUAUGUAGGACAUACGUCAAGUGUUCGUUCUUUAUGCUUUUCAAAUAAAUAUAAAAAUUGUUUUACAUCUUGUUCAGAUAAUGGUAGUGUAAAAUUAUGGGUUUCAGAUAAUUUAUUGGGGGAGUUGGAUGUUCCUCAUAGUAACGACGAUAUAUAUUCUGGUGAUAAUAAUAUAUUAAAUGUUUCAUUAAAUUCAAGUUCUAAAUUAAACAAACAUUCUAUUAACAAACUUGCAAGAAAUAGUAAAAACUUAUUUAACUUAAUUAAACAUAAAAAUAGUUUUAGUUAUAGAUCAGUAUCUAUUGUGUCUGAAUGUAAUUAUAAAAAAUCACCACAUAUUAUAAAAUUGAAUAAAGAGGAUAGUACAACUACAACUACUAUUACAACAACAGCUAGUAGCCUUAAGAAAAAAUAUGAAAAAAACAAUUUAAAUAAUAAACAUAUAUUACAACAACAAAACAAGCUAAGAACAAUAACCCCUAAUGUGCGUUGUAGUAACACUCAUUUUUUAAAAUUAUCUGUUACUGGUAUUAAAGAAAGUAUAAUUAAUAAGCCUAAAAAACAACAAGAUAUAAAUAAAAAAAAUAAUAAUGUAUUAUUCAAUAGUAUACCCAAUAGUAGUAGAAAUAAUAACAUAAAAAAAAAGAAUUUGAAAAUACCAACAUCACAUCUAAAUAUGAGUACAUCAGAUUUAAGAAUAAAACCAAAAAGAAAUACUGAUGGUAACUUAAAGUUACAAUCGUCACAGCUGGGACAUAAUUAUAAUAAACAUACAGCUGGUACAGAUAGAUAUAAAAAAAAAGACCCUUCAAAUUCCAGUUUAGUAUAUAAUGAUAUAAAUAGUAAAGUAAAUAAAAACAAACGUGAGACUCGUGAAGACCUUAAUGGAUAUAAUAAUGAUACAAAUUAUUCUAUUAUAAGCUCUCCAUACCAACUAAUUAAAAUAAUUGACCCUGACCUAGCUGAUAAUGAAGAUGCUUUAGAAACGUUAAGAAUACAAACAGAAAAAAAAAUAAGUAUAAGACCUGCUAAUUUGUCUAUGUCAAAACAUAGAAGUAAAGUAUCUUCGAUGGCCUGGUUGGACGAUAUGCUUUUUACAGCAUCAUGGGACCAGACGAUUAAAUGUUGGCCCAUAGGUAAGCAUAUCCCCGCGUGACAUAUUCUAUUCGAAUAGUACGUAUACAUUUUUAUUUCGGAUGAAUUGAGGUGAAUUGAAGUAGAGUGAAUUGAAGUGGAGUAAAUUUAAGUGAACGCUUAGCGAUUACCUGACCAAACAUAUGAGGUAUGUUAAAUGUGACAUUGUGCACUUAUAUGAUAAGUUACAACCAUAUGUGUUUGUGCCUUUGUGUGUAGAAGGAGGUCAGAAGUUCCCUCAAAUGAGACCAUACACAUCUUUAUGUAUAAGCAGAAAUUUAAACAAUCCUUGUUUUG